rnacentral:lncRNA from 1 species
GAAAGUCAGAUCCUUAGUCGGAGAGACUUAUAUUGCUCUAAACAUGCCGGAAAAUGGUCGGAGAGGCCAUGGAUCUCGCUGAUCUGAGAUAUAUCUAAAGGAAACCAUAGAAGUCAGGCCUCAAAUCAUCAUAUAGCUUAAGUUAGUAGUGAGGGAGAGUGAGCACACGCCACCCAUGGCCAGGAUGCCAUGGAUUCCGAUGGAAAUAGGAUAGAAGUAAGUGGAAAUUGAUUAGGGUUUCGAGGAGGCUUAGAGAGGAUUUGAGAGAUGAAGGGAGUUUAGAGGUGGCGUCUU